UGGGGAAUAUUGCACAAUGGGCGCAAGCCUGAUGCAGCCAUGCCGCGUGUAUGAAGAUGCCUUCGGGUUGUAAAGUACUUUCAGUCGGGAGGAAGGUGGUAAGGUUAAUAACCUUGGCAAUUGACGUUACCGACAGAAGAAGCACCGGCUAACUCCGUGCCAGCAGCCGCGGUAAUACGGAGGGUGCAAGCGUUAAUCGGAAUUACUGGGCGUAAAGCGCACGCAGGCGGUUGAUUGAGUCAGAUGUGAAAUCCCCGGGCUUAACCCGGGAAUUGCAUCUGAUACUGGUCAGCUAGAGUCUUGUAGAGGGGGGUAGAAUUCCAUGUGUAGCGGUGAAAUGCGUAGAGAUGUGGAGGAAUACCGGUGGCGAAGGCGGCCCCCUGGACAAAGACUGACGCUCAGGUGCGAAAGCGUGGGGAGCAAACAGG
rnacentral:rRNA from 1 species